rnacentral:rRNA from 1 species
GUACACGCUGUGACUAGCAUAUCAAUAAGCGGAGGAAAAGAAACUAACAAGGAUUCCCCUAGUAACGGCGAGUGAAGCGGGAAGAGCUCAAAUUUGAAAUCUUAAAGGGUUUCCCUUUACGAAUUGUAGUUUAAAGAAGUGUUUUCUGUUGAGGUUUUGGUAAAAGUUCUUUGGAAUAGGACAUCAUAGAGGGUGAGAAUCCCGUAUUUGACCUUUACUUUCAACUUUGUGAUACACUUUCAAAGAGUCGGAUUGUUUGGGAAUGCAGUCCAAAAUGGGUGGUAAAUUUCAUCUAAAGCUGAAUAUUGGCGAGAGACCGAUAGCGAACAAGUACCGUGAGGGAAAGAUGAAAAGAACUUUGAAAAGAGAGUUAAACAGUACGUGAAAUUGUCAAAAGGGAAGCGUUUGACACCAGUGUUGUUUUUCUGAAAAUCAAUUAAAGAACUGUUUAUGCUAAGUUGUUUAGACUUUAUCAGCUAACUGUUUAGUUUUGAGCUUUUCUUUAAUGCACUUUUCAGUUAACAAGUCAACAUCAAUUUCUUUUGCUGUAAAAAAGCUUGAGGAAGGUGGCUUGAGAUUCGUCUUAAGUGUUUAUAGCCUCUUGCCUAUGCAGUCGGAGAGAUUGAGGUCUGCAGCGUAGAUCCUUCGGGGCUAAAUGCAUUUGUGCUAAGUUAUAGCAUUUCAUAGACAACUUGUUGACUAUGAUUUGUCUUGUAGCUUACUCGCUUAUGUUAUUUUACCUACGCUUAGGAUGUUGACAGCAGUAUAGACUGU